rnacentral:rRNA from 1 species
UACGAAGGGUGCAACCGUUGCUCGGAAUUAUUGGGCGUAAAGCGCACGUAGGCGGCUUAGCAAGUCGGAAGUGAAAUCCCUCGGCUCAACCAAGGAAGUGCUUUCGAAACUGCUGAGCUUGAGUACUUAAGAGGAUCGCGGAAUUCCCGGUGUAGAGGUGAAAUUCGUAGAUAUCGGGAGGAACACCAGUGGCGAAGGCGGCUUCCUGGCCUGUUCUUGACGCUGAGGCGCGAAAGCUAGGGGAGCAAACGGG